rnacentral:rRNA from 1 species
CGCAGAAUAAGCACCGGCUAACUCUGUGCCAGCAGCCGCGGUAAUACAGAGGGUGCGAGCGUUAAUCGGAUUUACUGGGCGUGAAGCGCGCGUAGGUGGCUAAUUAAGUCAAAUGUGAAAUCCCCGAGCUUAACUUGGGAAUUGCAUUCGAUACUGGUUAGCUAGAGUAUGGGAGAGGAUGGUAGAAUUCCAGGUGUAGCGGUGAAAUGCGUAGAGAUCUGGAGGAAUACCGAUGGCGAAGGCAGCCAUCUGGCCUAAUACUGACACUGAGGUG